UACAGAGGGUGCAAGCGUUAAUCGGAAUUACUGGGCGUAAAGCGUGCGUAGACGGUUAUGUAAGUCGGGUGUGAAAGCCCCGGGCUCAACCUGGGAAUGCCAUUCGAGACUGCAUAGCUAGGGUGCGGAAGAGGGAAGCGGAAUUUCCGGUGUAGCGGUGAAAUGCGUAGAUAUCGGAAGGAACACCAGUGGCGAAAGCGGCUUCCUGGUCCAGCACGACGUCAGGCACGAAAGCGUGGGGAGCAAACAGG
rnacentral:rRNA from 1 species